rnacentral:rRNA from 1 species
UACGGAAGGCAGCAGUGGGGAAUAUUGCACAAUGGGCGCAAGCCUGAUGCAGCCAUGCCGCGUGUAUGAAGAAGGCCUUCGGGUUGUAAAGUACUUUCAGCGGGGAGGAAGGCGGUGAAGUUAAUAGCUUCACCGAUUGACGUUACCCGCAGAAGAAGCACCGGCUAACUCCGUGCCAGCAGCCGCGGUAAUACGGAGGGUGCAAGCGUUAAUCGGAAUUACUGGGCGUAAAGCGCACGCAGGCGGUCUGUCAAGUCGGAUGUGAAAUCCCCGGGCUUAACCUGGGAACUGCAUUCGAAACUGGCAGGCUAGAGUCUUGUAGAGGGGGUAGAAUUCCAGGUGUAGCGGUGAAAUGCGUAGAGAUCUGGAGGAAUACCGGUGGCGAAGGCGGGCCCCUGGGACAAAGACUGACGCUCAGGGUGCGAAAGCGUGGGGAGCGAAACAGGAUUAGGAUACC